ACGGAAGGUCCGGGCGUUAUCCGGAUUUAUUGGGUUUAAAGGGAGCGUAGGCCGGAGAUUAAGCGUGUUGUGAAAUGUAGGCGCUCAACGUCUGCACUGCAGCGCGAACUGGUUUCCUUGAGUACGCACAAAGUGGGCGGAAUUCGUGGUGUAGCGGUGAAAUGCUUAGAUAUCACGAAGAACUCCGAUUGCGAAGGCAGCUCACUGGAGCGCAACUGACGCUGAAGCUCGAAAGUGCGGGUAUCGAACAG
rnacentral:rRNA from 1 species